rnacentral:rRNA from 1 species
UGUAAGCGUAUACCAAAGUUGUUGCAGUUAAAACGCUCGUAGUCGGAAUUUGGCAGUUCCGGAUGUGUGCACGUCGUGUGCGCACUUCGCGGGGAUUGCUUUUGUGGUCUUGCGUAGGAUGAGGCACUUUUAUUAGUGAACGUCCUCACGCAACCACUUUUUACUGUGAGAAAAUCAGAGUGCUCAAAGCAGGCAUUUGCCGUGAAUGUAUUAGCAUGGAAUAAUAGAAUAGGACUUGGUUCUAUUUUGUUGGUUUGUUGGGACUGAGUAAUGAUUAAGAGGGACAGUUGGGGGCAUUUGUAUUUCGGUGCUAGAGGUGAAAUUCUUAGAUUACCGAACGACAAACUGCUGCGAAAGCGUCUGCCAAGGAUGUUUUCAUUGA